CGUACCUACGGGAGGCAGCAGUAGGGAAUACUUCGGCAAUGGGGGCAACCCUGACCGAGCAACGCCGCGUGAGUGAAGAAGGUUUUCGGAUCGUAAGGCUCUGUUGUAAGUCAAGAACGGGUGUGAGAGUGGAAAGUUCACACUGUGACGGUAGCUUACCAGAAAGGGACGGCUAACUACGUGCCAGCAGCCGCGGUAAUACGUAGGUCCCGAGCGUUGUCCGGAUUUAUUGGGCGUAAAGCGAGCGCAGGCGGUUUGAUAAGUCUGAAGUUAAAGGCUGUGGCUCAACCAUAGUUCGCUUUGGAAACUGUCAAACUUGAGUGCAGAAGGGGAGAGUGGAAUUCCAUGUGUAGCGGUGAAAUGCGUAGAUAUAUGGAGGAACACCGGUGGCGAAAGCGGCUCUCUGGUCUGUAACUGACGCUGAGGCUCGAAAGCGUGGGGAGCGAACAGGAUUAGAUACCCUGGUAGUCCACGCCGUAAACGAUGAGUGCUAGGUGUUGUCUGUAUCGACCCGGACAGUGCCGUAGC
rnacentral:rRNA from 1 species